rnacentral:snRNA from 1 species
AGCUUUGUGUAAUGGCAGUAUCAUAGCCAAGGAAAUUUAUUCAAGGCGUGAUUGUUGCUAAUUGAAAAAUUCUUCACUAUGUG